AAAGCUCGUAGUUGAAUUUCGAGAUCAGUACGCUGGUCGUGCCUUCGGUAUGCACUGGUGUCACUGGUUUCUCCCUUCUGAAGAACCGUCAUGUCAUUAAGUUGGUGUGGCGGGGAAUCAGGACUGUUACUUUGAAAAAAUUAGAGUGUUUAAAGCAGGCUCGCGCUUGAAUACAUUAGCAUGGAAUAAUGAAAUAGGACGUUUGACCCUAUUUUGUUGGUUUCUAGGAUCGACGUAAUGAUUAAUAGGGAUAGUUGGGGGCAUUAGUAUUCAAUUGUCAGAGGUGAAAUUCUUGGAUUUAUUGAAGACUAACUACUGCGAAAGCAUUUGCCAAGGAUGUUUUCAUUAAUCAAGAACGAAAGUUAGGGGAUCGAAGACGAUCAGAUACCGUCGUAGUCUUAACCAUAAACUAUGCCGACUAGGGAUCGGAUGAUGUUAAUUUUUUAAUGACUCAUUCGGCACCUU
rnacentral:rRNA from 1 species